AUUGAACGCUGGCGGCAGGCCUAACACAUGCAAGUCGAACGAGUGGCGGACGGGUGAGUAAUGUCUGGGAAACUGCCUGCUGGAGGGGGAUAACUACUGGAAACGGUAGCUAAUACCGCAUACCAUCAGAUGUGCCCAGAUGGGAUUAGCUUGUGGGUGGGGUAACGGCUCACCAAGGCGACGAUCCCUAGCUGGUCUGAGAGGAUGCCCGGCCACACUGGAACUGAGACACGGUCCAGACUCCUACGGGAGGCAGCAGUGGGGAAUAUUGCACAAUGGGCGCAAGCCUGAUGCAGCCAUGCAGCGUGUAUGAAGAAGGCCUUCGGGUUGUAAAGUACUUUCAGCAGGGAAGCGUUACCCGCAGAGGAAGCACCGGCUAACUCCGUGCCAGCCGCUGCGGUAAUAC
rnacentral:rRNA from 1 species